rnacentral:rRNA from 1 species
UACGGGGGGGGCAAGCGUUGUUCGGAAUUACUGGGCGUAAAGGGCUCGUAGGCGGCCAACUAAGUCGGAUGUGAAAUCCCCAGGCUUAACCUGGGAACUGCAUCCGAUACUGGAUGGCUUGAAUCCGGGAGAGGAACGUAGAAUUCCAGGUGUAGCGGUGAAAUGCGUAGAUAUCUGGAGGAAUACCGGUGGCGAAGGCGGCGUUCUGGACCAUUACUGACACUGAAUCGCGAAAGCUAGGGGAGCAAACGGG